AAAUGUCUGAAUCAGUUUUAUCAACAUCAAGGUGUAAAGCUAACGGCAAAUGAGAACUACCACAAAUAGAAUUGAAAAUCUUACAGCAUUCAAUCCUCUACUUCAGAGUCCCCCCAAAGGGUAAGAGCGGUAGAAAGAAAGAAGAAAGAACACAAAAAAAGUCGCUGUGCCCUAUAUAAGUAAUCAACAAAUAAAAACUUACAAGUAGAGAGCAAAAUUAAAGACGUCUGAUGAAAAUCUAACUGCUCAUAACUGCACAACUGCCACUGCUAUGCAAUCGAACAAAUAAAACAUAUGAUCAAAAUCAAAAUGUGUUGCGCCUAGGUCUUUCUUCAGCAGCAUUUACCCUGAUCGUCCUCCCAUCCAAAGUCUGUCCAUCAAGGUUGGCUAUUGCUUCACUCAUCUCAGGUUCACUUGACAUUGUCACAAAACCAAAGCCUCGUGACCUUCCAGACUCUCUGUCAUAAACCACCCGAGCACUUACUACUUUACCAUGUUCACUGAAGACUUGCUCAAGGCGUGCAUCAUCAAUGUCCCAUGGGAUGUUGCCAACAUAGAUUCUGUAAGUAGGCUGAAAUGUUCGAGGUGGACGUUCUGGCUGUGAUCCUCUUCGAGCAGCUUUGUUGACUGUCAAGAGCCUUCCAUUGAGAUCAUAACGGUUGUACAGUACUACAGCUUUCUCAGCUUCUUCCACGGUACUCAUUGUCACAAACCCGAAUCCACGACUUCUAUCAGUCUCCCUAUUGUAAAUGACCUCAGCAAUCUCAACAACACCAGCCUGUUGGAACAACUGAGCCAACCCCUCACUGUCUAUAUCAUAGGGUAAAUUCCCAACGAACAAUUUCGCAUCUUCCGGAGGUUCUUGAUACUCCUCUGCCUCAGCCUCAGCCUCAUCACUCUCCCCUGCAUCACCAACACUUGCAAAAUCAAAGCUAAGCGCUUCCCCACCUUGUUCUUUAUCUUCAAGGCCAACACUGCUG
rnacentral:misc_RNA from 1 species